rnacentral:rRNA from 1 species
UACGAAGGGUGCAAGCGUUACUCGGAAUUUCUGGGCGUAAAGCGUGCGUAGGUGGUUUGUUAAGUCUGAUGUGAAAGCCCUGGGCUCAACCUGGGAAUUGCAUUGGAUACUGGCAGGCUAGGGUGCGGUAGAGGGUAGUGGAAUUCCCGGUGUAGCAGUGAAAUGCGUAGAGAUCGGGAGGAACAUCUGUGGCGAAGGCGACUACCUGGACCAGCACUGACACUGAGGCACGAAAGCGUGGGGAGCAAACAGGAUUAGAUACCCUGAUAGUCCACGCCCUAAACGAUGCGAACUGGAUGUUGGGCUCAACUUGGAGCUCAGUAUCGAAGCUAACGCACUAAGUAGACCGCCUGGGGAGUACGGUCGCAAGAUUAAA